GACGAACGCUGGCGGCGUGCCUAACACAUGCAAGUCGAACGAACAGACGUGGUGCUUGCUCCGCGGGGAUUAGCGGCGAACGGGUGAGUAACACGUGGGUAACCUACCUAUAAGACUGGGAUAACUUUGGGAAACCGGGUCUAAUACCGGAUAAUAUAUGGCACUGCAUGGUUCAGUAGUGAAAGACGGUUUUUCGUUCAGUUAUGGCUGAAUCCGAACCGGAUUAGCUGGUGGGUAAGGUAACGGCUUAGCAAGGCAACGAUGCGUACCCGACCUGAGAGGGUGGUCGCCGACCUGGGAGCGGAGACAGGGUCCCUACUCCUGAGGGAGGCCGCAGUCGGGAAUCGUACGCAACGGGGGAGAGCAUGACAGAGCAAGGCGGCGUGAGUGAUGACGGUGCUAGGAUCGGGAAGACAUGUUACUAGUGGAGAACAAAUGUGUAAGUAACAGUGCCGAUAUUGACGGUACCUGCAGAAAAAGCCCCGGCUAACUACGUG
rnacentral:rRNA from 1 species